rnacentral:rRNA from 1 species
UCGGGAAUUUUGGGCAAUGGGCGAAAGCCUGAUGGAGCGACGUCGCGUGAUGGACGAAGUGCUUCGGCACGUAAACAUCUUUUAUGUGGGAUGAAAUUAUUGACAGUACCACAUGAAUAAGGGGCUCCUAACUCUGUGCCAGCAGGAGCGGUAAUACAGAGGCCCCAAGCGUUAUCCGGAAUCACUGGGCGUAAAGGGUGUCGAGGCGGUUGUAUUAGUCGUUCGUAAAAUCUACGAGCUUAACUUGUAGGCGGCGAACGAAACGGUACGACUUGAGGUUUGGAGAGGUGCGUGGAACUCACGGUGUAGGGGUGAAAUCCGUUGAUAUCGUGGGGAACACCAAAGGCGAAGGCAGCGCACUGGCCAAAAUCUGACGCUCACACACGAAAGCUAGGGUAGCGAAGAGGAUUAGAUACCCACGUAGUCCCUGAGCGGGCUGGCAAGGCGCAU